GACGUAGGGCGCGAGCGUUGUCCGGAUUUAUUGGGCGUAAAGAGCUCGUAGGCGGCUUGUCGCGUCGAAUGUGAAAUCUCAGGGCUCAACUCUGACAUUGCAUUCGAUACGGGCAGGCUAGAGUUCGGUAGGGGAGACUGGAAUUCCUGGUGUAGCGGUGUAAUGCGCAGAUAUCAGGAGGAACACCGGUGGCGAAGGCGGGUCUCUGGGCCGAUACUGACGCUGAGGAGCGAAAGCGUGGGGAGCGAACAGG
rnacentral:rRNA from 1 species